UUUGGGUCCCCUUCCACACUGGAAGCUUUGUUCUUUUGCUCUUCACAAUAAAUCUUGCUGCUGCUCAUAGAAAGAUGCAAGCUAGUGCUAGCGAGACAGCCUGCAAAACCCCUGUGUUGUUUUGGGCUGUUAACCAUAGUCUGAGUGGCUUAGACAACAAACAUUUAUUUCUCACAGUUCUAGAGGCUAGAAGUCCAAGAGCAGAUGCCAGCAGACCUGUCUGGGGAAGGCCUGCUUCUUGGCCUGGAGACAGCCGCUUGCUCACUAUGUCUUCACAGGGCAGAGUGAACCCUGGUCUGUUUCUCUUACAAGGACACUCAUCCCACUGUGGGCCUCCACCUUUGUGAUUUCAUCUAUACCUAAAAGGCCCCACUUCCUAGUAUUCCGCCGGGGGUUCAGGCUUCAAAGAUGAAUACUGGGGGCGACACAAACGGAGCCCAUAACCUCAUGCCGCCUGACUCCUGAGGCUGUAUUCGUGAUGAACGUGUGGCUGCCCAAGUUUUGUUUUGCUCAGGCAGGAUCAGCACACACCCAGCCACAGACAGGGAAGCCCAGAGCAGGGCAGAAUAUGGUCCCUCAAGUGAAUAAUUGGCCCAGGGAUACAGAAUUAGGUGAUUCUAGCAAAUCCAGACAUUUUCUAGGGUGCCAGUGAAUUUUGGGUCUGUCCCUGUUAGCUGUUCUUGAGAUUUUGCACUCAACUUGCGAUGGUUAAUACGGAGUGUCAACUUGAUUGGAUUGAAGGAUGCAAAGUAUUGUUUCUGGGUGUGUCUGUGAGGGUGUUGCCAAAGGAGAUUAACAUUUGUGUCAGUGGGCUGGGAAAGGCAGACCCACCCUCAAUCUGGGUGGGCACCAUCUAAUCAGCUGCCAGCGUGGCCGGAAUAAAAGCAGGCAGGAGAAUGUGGAAAGACUAGACUAGUCUUGUGGCCUCCAUCUUUCUCCUGUGCUGGAUGCUUCCUGCCCUUGAACAUCGGACUCCAAGUUCUUCCGUUUUGGGACUUGGAUUAGCUUCCUUGCUCCUCAGCCUGCAGACGGCCUACUGUGGGACCCCUUCUUAUCUGAGGACCCCGUCUCUGCCUCAUUCCUCCUGUUUCCAUCAGAAGACACAGGUCUGGGACUCAGCGCAGCUGACCUGUCUGUCCCUCUCUGCACAGUUUACUCCUGGGCUCUGCAGAGAGAAGUCAGUGCCUCAAUUUUCCAUUGAAAUAUGCACCCUUGGCAUCCUGGCAGGAGUGGCAGCCACAGCAAAACAUCUUCUGCAGCGUCUGGCCAGGGCGUUACUCCAGCCCAGUUUUGCCCUGGACUAGAUUGAGUCAGGUCGUGCAUGGAACGCAAGCACAAACCACGGUCAGCUCCUCGAGACUGACCCACUGGCCCACUGAGCAGAGGAGCCCCUGGGUCUCUGGACGCUGCCCAGUUGUUGACAUCCUGAGGCAGGUUUGCGGCUGAUGGAGCAACAGGGACGGGCUGGGCCCGGCACCUUUUUCACGGAAAUGAUGAGCUCUGGACAGCAGUGAUGCCAGGGCCCAUAAAGCCUCAGGCGCCCGUCAUUGCUGCUGCCUGCGUGUGCUCGCUCACCGCGACGGCGGCGGGCUGGAGGAAGCUGUGCAAGAGCCAAGUGUCUACCAUGAGUCUGCAUGUUCAUAUGGUUCAGAUUUGCCUUGGAAUCCCCGCGAGCCAAACUCUUUCAUUUCACUUAGUAAAAGGGAUGCAUUGACUCAGAUGUUCUGUCCUAUUUAAAUGAGAGGGGCGCGGGAGGUGAUGGAACACAAAACCAUGAGCCAUGGCUUUGCUGGGGAAUGCUGUGGAUCUGGUGUGUGAUAGAGAGAGAGUGUGUGUGCGUGUGUGUGUGUGUAUGGCAAAGUGCACAAAUCGCACGUGUACACCUCAGUGGCUUUUUACACAUUUAGACGUGUGUAAGUGUAUAGAGCAUUUCCACACCCCAGAGGCCCCGAGCUCACUCCCUCCCGCUCUCCCCAUCCCUGACGCUAACCUGAU
rnacentral:lncRNA from 1 species